ACCUAAAGAUACUACAAUGUUAAAAAAUACAAAUUUAGCUUUAGAGCAACUCAAGCAGGUCACAGCCUACUUGAAACAGGAUACAGCCUCCACCUAUGGGUAAUAUAAUCUUUGCAAUAUAAAAGUAGGCCUAAAAGCAGCCAUCUUUUAAAAAGCGUCAAAGCUUAAAUAUAUUAACUAUUAAAUUCCUUGAACAAACUAAAACCCUCCCCUGAUACUGAAUAAUUCCAUACACUUAUGGAAACUAUAAUGUUAAAACUAGUAACAAGAAAUUUAUUCUCUUAAAUGUGAGCUUAAGUCAGAACGGAGCAUACACUGACAAUUAGCAAUCAUAGAACAUAGUAACAACUUCACCCUAGAAAACCCUGCUAAAAUAAUUGUUAAUCUUACACCAGAACAUUUAAAGAAAGACUAAAAGAAAAAGAAGGAACUCGGCAAAACUGAUUCCGCCUGUUUACCAAAAACAUCGCCUCUUGAAUGGAACUAUUAGAGGUCCAGCCUGCCCAGUGACAAUGUUUAACGGCCGCGGUAUCCAAACCGUGCGAAGGUAGCGUAAUCACCUGUUUUUUAAUUAAAGACCUGUAUGAAAGGCAUCACGAGAAUCACUCUGUCUCCUUUUUCCAGUCAGUGAAACUAAUCUUCCCGUGAAAAAGCGGGAAUAGAAAUACAAGACGAGAAGACCCUAUGGAGCUUAAGACAAAAUAAUAAUUGCCACCUUACCACGACCCUUCAUCACAGAGCAUCUUACUUAUAAGUCUUCGGUUGGGGCAACCGCGGGGUAAAAAUUACCCCCCAAGCUGAACGGAGCCUUCCUUAACAAAAAGCCACAACUUUAUGUAUCAUAAACUGACACUACUUGACCCAAUAUUUUGAUUAACGAACCAAGUUACCCUAGGGAUAACAGCGCAAUCCACCCCAAGAGUUCAUAUCGACGGAUGGGCUUACGACCUCGAUGUUGGAUCAAGGUGUCCUAGUGGUGCAGCCGCUACUCAAGGUUCGUUUGUUCAACGAUUAAAACCUCACGUGAUCUGAGUUCAGACCGGAGUAAUCCAGGUCAGUUUCUAUCUGUAAAGAGUUAUUCCCAGUACGAAAGGACAGAAAUAGCAUGGCCAAUGCACCCUGCACGCCAUACAAGUAACUUUUGACCCCCUCUUAAAAAUUGCUAAUCUAGUACCUUACUCUAAAACAA
rnacentral:rRNA from 1 species